rnacentral:rRNA from 1 species
GACACUGCGCCGAAAAUGUACCGGGGCUAAACAUAUUACCGAAGCUGUGGAUUGUCCUUUGGACAAUGGUAGGAGAGCGUUCUAAGGGCGUUGAAGCAUGAUCGUAAGGACAUGUGGAGCGCUUAGAAGUGAGAAUGCCGGUGUGAGUAGCGAAAGACGGGUGAGAAUCCCGUCCACCGAUUGACUAAGGUUUCCAGAGGAAGGCUCGUCCGCUCUGGGUUAGUCGGGUCCUAAGCUGAGGCCGACAGGCGUAGGCGAUGGAUAACAGGUUGAUAUUCCUGUACCACCUAUAAUCGUUUUAAUCGAUGGGGGGACGCAGUAGGAUAGGCGAAGCGUGCGAUUGGAUUGCACGUCUAAGCAGUAAGGCUGAGUAUUAGGCAAAUCCGGUACUCGUUAAGGCUGAGCUGUGAUGGGGAGAAGACAUUGUGUCUUCGAGUCGUUGAUUUCACACUGCCGAGAAAAGCCUCUAGAUAGAAAAUAGGUGCCCGUACCGCAAACCGACACAG